GGCAUCUGCAAUAUCAAUCAGAAAUAAUAGACCCAUUACCAUUCAUCUUAGUGGGAAGCUAUGAUCUAGUUAUCCCCAUAACUAGCUCAUUUUAGAGACCUAAUAAUUUAGAAGAUUUAAUUUAUGAAUUGAGAAAAGAGAAGAGAUCAAUCAGUAAACCAUAAUUCUUCUACUAACUUCAUCAAGUUAUUGAAUUAGAUUAAGAUCAUACUAGUCGAACUAGCACCUAGAUCAGUCACACUGAUCAACCUUGAUGGCAUGAGUCAACUUGAAUCACUUAGUAAUCUAAUCAAAAUCUAAUUCAUCAAAUUGGCCAAG
rnacentral:lncRNA from 1 species